AGAGGGUGCAAACGUUGUUCGGAAUUACUGGGCGUAAAGCGCGUGUUGGCGGCAGCGUGUGUCGGGCGUGAAAUCCCAUGGCUCAACCAUGGAAGUGCACCCGAAACUGCGCAGCUAGAGUCCUGGAGAGGAAGGUGGAAUACUUGGUGUAGAGGUGAAAUUCGUAGAUAUCAAGUGGAACACCGGAGGCGAAGGCGGCCUUCUGGACAGUGACUGACGCUGAGACGCGAAAGCGUGGGGAGCAAACAGGAUUAGAUACCCUGGUAGUCCACGCCGUAAACGAUGAGUGCUAGGUGUCACGGGCUUUGACCCUCGUGGUGCCGAAGCUAACGCGUUAAGCACUCCGCCUGGGGAGUACGGCCGCAAGGCUA
rnacentral:rRNA from 1 species